UUUUCCAUGAUUUUCCAGCUCUUUUUGUUCGUUAACAGGAGGAAUUCCUGGUUUUUUUCCUGGUUUUUUUAGGGUGGUUUUUCCAUGAUUUUCCUCCUUAUUAAAGCGGGAUUUGGGAUGGGAUUCCGGCCCGGAAAAUUUGGGAUGGAGCGUCCCAGCACGGCCUGGCUGGAUCCUUAAUGGGAGGGAAUUCCUGGGGCUUUUUCCUGGAUUUUUAGGGUGUUUUUUCCAUGAUUUUCCAUGAUUUUCCAGCUCCGCUUCUUCCUUAAUGAGGGAGAAUUCCAGGGUUUUUUCCUAUUUUUUUGGGGUAGAUUUUCCAUGAUUUUCCAGCUCUUUUCCCUCCUUAAUGGGAGGGAAUUCCCGGGAUUUUUUCCUGGGUUUUUUGGGGUGAUUUUUCCAUGAUUUUCCAGCUCCGCUUCUUCCUUAACAGGAGAGAAUUCCUGGGAUUUUUUCCUGGUUUUCUGGGGUGGUUUUUCCAUGAUUUUCCAGCUCCUCCUGCUUAAGGCACAAAUCCUUUGUUAUUUUUUUAGGGAAUGUUCAGGAAUUUAUUUGGGAAAAUCAUUCGGAAAUUGAAAUCCUUCCAACACCAGAAUUUAGGGAAUUUUCUCCACAAUCCCACAAAUUCCCGGCUCCUUUUGAAUGGGAAUGUUCAGGGAUUGAUUUGGGAAAAAUCUUCAGGAAUUAGAAAUCCUUCAAAUCCCAGAAUUUCAGGAAUUUUCUCCACCAUCCCAGAAAAUUCCCGGCUCCUCAAGUUCAUCCCUGGCUCCUAAAAAAAAAAAAAAAGGGGAAUGAAUUUUCCACUGGGAAUGAGGAGAAGUGGGAAUUCCAAAGGAAUUCCGGGGAUUUUAUUCCACAUCUGGGAGAGGCCUCGGCCUUUUUGGGGCUUUUCCCAACAUUUUGGAGCAGGAGGGGCGGAAUUCCGGGAAUUUGGGAUCAUCCCGGGGAGGGAACAGGGGGAUCCCACAGGGAACAGAGCUGGAAAAACUCCUGGGAUGGGAUUUUAUUCCGAGAAUUUUGGAGCAGGAGGAGCUGAAUUCCGGGAAUUUGGGAUCAUCCCGGGGCGGGCACCAAGUGAUCCUAUGGAAAAAAAACUGGAAAAACUCCUGGGAUGGGAUUUUAUUCCCAAAAUUCUGGAGCAGGAGGAGCUGAAUUCCGGGGUUUGGGAUCAUCCCGGGGAGGGAACAGGGGGAUCCCAUGGAGGAGAGAGCUGGAAAAACUCCUGGGAUGGGAUUUUAUUCCAAGAAAGAGCGGAAUUCCGGGAAUUUGAGCUCGGGAUCAUCCCAGGGAGGAGACGAGGGGAUUCCAUGGAGAAAAAGGGGUGGAAAAACUCCUGGGAUGGGAUUUUGUUCCCAAAAUUUCCGAGCAGGAGGAGCUGAAUUCCGGGAAUUUGAGCUCGGGAUCAUCCCAGGGAGGAGACGAGGGGAUUCCAUGGAGAAAAAGGGGUGGAAAAACUCCUGGGAUGGGAUUUUAUUCC